rnacentral:rRNA from 1 species
UACGGAGGGUGCAAGCGUUGUCCGGAAUCACUGGGCGUAAAGGGCGCGUAGGCGGCUCAUGAAGGCUGUGGUGAAAGUCCGGGGCUCAACCUCGGAUCGGCCGUGGCGACUCGUGGGCUGGAGCACUGUAGAGGCGGGUGGGAUUCCGGGUGUAGCGGUGGAAUGCGUAGAGAUCCGGAAGAACACCAGUGGCGAAGGCGGCCCGCUGGGCAGUGGCUGACGCUGAGGCGCGACAGCGUGGGGAGCAAACAGG